GCUCUCGGGUGACGAGCGGCGGACGGGUGAGUAAUGUCUGGGAAACUGCCUGAUGGAGGGGGAUAACUACUGGAAACGGUAGCUAAUACCGCAUAACGUCGCAAGACCAAAGUGGGGGACCUUCGGGCCUCAUGCCAUCAGAUGUGCCCAGAUGGGAUUAGCUGGUAGGUGGGGUAACGGCUCACCUAGGCGACGAUCCCUAGCUGGUCUGAGAGGAUGACCAGCCACACUGGAACUGAGACACGGUCCAGACUCCUACGGGAGGCAGCAGUGGGGAAUAUUGCACAAUGGGCGCAAGCCUGAUGCAGCCAUGCCGCGUGUGUGAAGAAGGCCUUCGGGUUGUAAAGCACUUUCAGCGGGGAGGAAGGCGGUGAGGUUAAUAACCUCAYCGAUUGACGUUACCCGCAGAAGAAGCACCGGCUAACUCCGUGCCAGCAGCCGCGGUAAUACGGAGGGUGCAAGCGUUAAUCGGAAUUACUGGGCGUAAAGCGCACGCAGGCGGUCUGUCAAGUCGGAUGUGAAAUCCCCGGGCUCAACCUGGGAACUGCAUUCGAAACUGGCAGGCUAGAGUCUUGUAGAGGGGGGUAGAAUUCCAGGUGUAGCGGUGAAAUGCGUAGAGAUCUGGAGGAAUACCGGUGGCGAAGGCGGCCCCCUGGACAAAGACUGACGCUCAGGUGCGAAAGCGUGGGGAGCAAACAGGAUUAGAUACCCUGGUAGUCCACGCUGUAAACGAUGUCGAUUUGGAGGUUGUGCCCUUGAGGCGUGGCUUCCGGAGCUAACGCGUUAAAUCGACCGCCUGGGGAGUACGGCCGCAAGGUUAAAACUCAAAUGAAUUGACGGGGGCCCGCACAAGCGGUGGAGCAUGUGGUUUAAUUCGAUGCAACGCGAAGAACCUUACCUGGUCUUGACAUCCACAGAACUUUCCAGAGAUGGAUUGGUGCCUUCGGGAACUGUGAGACAGGUGCUGCAUGGCUGUCGUCAGCUCGUGUUGUGAAAUGUUGGGUUAAGUCCCGCAACGAGCGCAACCCUUAUCCUUUGUUGCCAGCGGUUAGGCCGGGAACUCAAAGGAGACUGCCAGUGAUAAACUGGAGGAAGGUGGGGAUGACGUCAAGUCAUCAUGGCCCUUACGACCAGGGCUACACACGUGCUACAAUGGCAUAUACAAAGAGAAGCGACCUCGCGAGAGCAAGCGGACCUCAUAAAGUAUGUCGUAGUCCGGAUUGGAGUCUGCAACUCGACUCCAUGAAGUCGGAAUCGCUAGUAAUCGUAGAUCAGAAUGCUACGGUGAAUACGUUCCCGGGCCUUGUACACACCGCCCGUCACACCAUGGGAGUGGGUUGCAAAAGAAGUAGGUAGCUUAACCUUC
rnacentral:rRNA from 1 species